rnacentral:rRNA from 1 species
GUUUUCUAUUACUGCGAGUCGGAGAGGGUAAGCGCAGCGCGCACGCUUCCGUCAGGGCCCGGCCCGGCCCGCGCGGUUUCUUCCUCUUCUAUAAAACGCGGCCCGGCGGCCACGGGAUAUCUCCCCCAUUGUUUUCUUCCUCCCGCAGAUUCCCUCUUCUCGCUCGUUAGGGUUAGGUCUCCCCCGGCGCGGCGCAAUCCGCAAAUCUCGACGACGGCGCCAAGCAGCGAGCGGAUCCAGUCGAUCUAGUCCCGCGCCGACGAGCCUAUGGCGACGGCGGUGCUCAGAUCCCACGACGCGCUCGCCAACAGGAUGCAUCUCGCCGCCUUCGCCGCGUCCCCCCAGGCCGCCAAGCAGCGCCGCCGGCGCCACCCCAAGCCGGCCUCGCCGCCGCCCAAGGUGGCCGUUGUUGCCGGUUCUUCGCCGCCAAAGCCGGCUCUUUUGGCGUCGCCGGCGACGAAGCAGGCGCCCGCGGCCGGCCGUCGGUCCCCGCCGGUGAAGCCUGCCCGCAAGCAGCCUUCCCCGACCAAGGAGAAGCCCCGGCAGCAGCCGAUCGUGAUGGAGGCCGUCCGGAUCCUCAAGCGCGGCGAGGAGCCGCCUGCCCCCGCCCCCGCGCCAGUCCAGGCCAGGGCGCAAGCCCAGCCCGCGGACAGGCGGGUGCGGUCUCCCUCCCCUGCCUCACCGCCCGUCGUCAAGGCCCGGCCCCAAGCCCCGCCAGCGGAUAGGCGCGUGCGGUCUCCUCCCCCAGCCACAGCACCCAUCCCGGCACGGGCGCAAGCCCCGCCGGCCGACAAGAGGGCGCUCCGGACCACCAGCCGGAUCGGCCCGCAGCAACCUGCCGUGGCCCCGACCAAGAAGAUGGUGCCAGUCGCCAUCGCAACCAGCUACGCCGGCCCGGCGUUCUCUGCCGCGGCCCCAGAGCCGAGCUCCCUGCCCCUGCCGGGAUUCUUCUUCCGGCGCGCAGAGGAAGAGGCCACCCGCGGCCUCCGGUGCCUGCUCCGCAUCGGCGAGCUCUCAUGAUGACGGCUCCCCCUCCAGUAGCAGCGUGUGCGCCUCCUCCGUGGCUGCGCCGUUCUGCUCUCCUCCCUCCUCCCCCUCGUCUCGCCUCAUCUCCUCUGGAAGCAACAAGAAGAAGAAGAAGAGGUGGUAAUAACUCUCCCUGACUGAAGGACGGAAGGAUUUUAUCUGCGGAUGGUUGGUGUGUGGUUCGAUCCGGCGGAUCAGAUCCCGGAAGCUCCGUUCCGAUCGAACCCUUCCGGUAUUUUUUCAGAGGAAGGGUCAUCGGGGGAGCGGAGGUCCGGCGGUAGGGUUUGGUGGUGGUUGCUUUAGGUUCGCGCGUUGCUGCUGUUUGGUUCGCCUUGAUGUCGUUAGGUAGGUUGUUAAUCUUGGUGUAGGUGACGAUGAUGAUCUGGUAGCUAGGGAGUGGGUCUCAGGUUUGGUAAUAAUUGAAGUUUAUGCGUGUGUGCGUGUGUGGGGGUUGAAGAUUAAGGUUAAGGUAUGAGUUAUUACAAGUUAUUAUAUACUGAGAGGUAAGUAAAUUAGUAUGGUGGUUGCAUCAGCUGAGCUAUGUGUAGUUGGUGUGGCAACUGAGAGGUGUGUCUAGUUGCAUCAGCUAGGCUAUGUGUAGUUGAUUUAGCAGCUGAGUUAUCUUAGGUAUUUCAAGAGUUGUUCAUGGUCCUUUGUAAGAUAUAUCUAAGUCUGUGUCUGUAUCGGUCGAUCAUAGAGCUAUAAUUCGUGAAAUAAAAAUGUCAGUGGUAGAUUAUAUGAGCUCUCCUCUUUCAUGGUUUGUGAUCAUCUGUUGUUGAUUCUUGCUCAUAACGAUUUCUGGUCUGGUCACCUGAUGACUUGGCCUUGCUGUCCGUUGAACCCGACAGUGUGAUGAAGAAUUCACUGAGCUAUCCCUUGAUGAAUUUAUCUCGAAAUAUUUCAGUGAUUAGUUUGCACAGAUUGCUCUCCUCAUGGUGCGUGGGAUCAUCAGGAUUUUGUUGACAAUAAUUUGCAAACCACGAUGUCUCGUCGUUGGCAAUUCGUUUGGUUUUGGGCUGCUGUGGAGUGCUGGCUACUUUGCGUGCUCCGUAGAUAGCCUUGUGUUUUGGCAGGCGUUGCUUACUUUGGGGGUGGUGGUGGUGAUUGAAUGCCACUACGACCACUUGUCUCUCGGGCUAAGCAAGGCCAAAUCGUACUCCACCAGCCAGCCGUGUUAUCUGAUUUCCCACGCCUAACAUCGCUGGCAGUUGAUGCAUCAGCCAACAACCACACCGAAGGAGAGAGCAAAGAAAAU